CAGCCGCCGCGGUAAUACAGAGGAUGCAAGCGAUAUCCGGAAUGAUUGGGCGUAAAGGGCUCGCAGGCGGUUUCUUAAGUCUGAUGUGAAAGCCCCCGGCUCAACCGGGGAGGGUCAUUGGAAACUGGGAAACUUGAGUGCAGAAGAGGAGAGUGGAAUUCCACGUGUAGCGGUGAAAUGCGUAGAGAUGUGGAGGAACACCAGUGGCGAAGGCGACUCUCUGGUCUGUAACUGACGCUGAGGAGCGAAAGCGUGGGGAGCGAACAGGAUUAGAUACCCGAGUAGUCCCUGUCUCUUAUAC
rnacentral:rRNA from 1 species